GUUUCAACACGAGAGAGCAGCUCUCUUUGCGGAGCUAGCUCUAAGCUGAGGGUGGAAAACGAAAGGGCUAAGUAGGACAAGAAGUAACCUUUUAUUUUCGGUAUUGUUUUGUUUAAACAACGACCGUCAUGGGGAAACGACAGCAUCAAUCUGAUAAGAUGUAUAUUACAUCAAAAGAAUGGACCAACCUAUUUGGUGGAAAGAAAAAAGGAAGUGGGAAGUCAGACUUCAAACGCUUGCCAUUUGAUCACUGCAGCCUUUCACUUCAACCAUUUGAACAUCCUUAUUGCACUAAGGAGGGUGUGAUCUUUGACCUUACAAGCAUCCUUCCAUACUUGAAACGUUACGGAUUGAAUCCCAUCACAGGAGAGCAAAUGGACACCAAGGGUCUAAUCAAGUUGAAUAUUCAUAAGAAUUCAAAUGGGAAGUACCAUUGUCCAGUUACAUUCAAGGUUUUUACUGACAACUCCAGUAUUGUGGCCAUCAAAACAACUGGUAAUGUUUAUGCACAGGAGGCUGUUGAUCAGUUAAACAUCAAAACAAAGAACUGGAAAGAUCUUUUGACAGAUGAAGUGUUCACACGAAAGGAUAUCAUAACAUUGCAGGAUCCGAAUGAUUUAGAGAAGUUCAACAUCUCUGCCUUUCAUCAUGUGAAAAACAACAUAAAAACAGAAACAGAAGAGGAAAGGAAAGCUAAAGGAGGAUCAAAAUAUUACUUGAAUAAAACAAAUUCAGAAACUGAAGAUAUUCUGAGUGAACUUUAUAGAGAUUAUAAGGCACCGGAAAAAAAGGAGGAGAGUGUAAAGAAAGCAGAUUCAUUCAAUGCUGCUCAUUUUAGUACUGGUAUGGUGGCUGCCGGCUUCACAUCAACUGCCAUGACUCCUCAAACUCAACAUGAAGCUGCUGUGAUUGAUGAAGACAUUAUUCGGUAUGAAAGGGUUAAGAAGAAGGGUUAUGUUAGAUUGACAACUAAUAAAGGAACACUCAACCUUGAGCUUCAUUGUGAUAUGGUACCAAAAACUUGUGAAAACUUUAUGAAACACUGUCAGAGUGGGUAUUACAACAACACAGUGUUCCACCGGUCUAUCAAGAAUUUUAUGAUUCAAGGAGGUGAUCCCACUGCAACUGGAAAAGGAGGAGAAUCUGUAUGGGGAGGAACUUUUAAGGAUGAAUUCAAACCAAAUCUAACUCACACCGGACGUGGGAUGCUAAGUAUGGCCAACUCGGGUCCAGACACCAACAAGUCACAAUUUUUCCUGACAUACCGGUCAUGCCGUCACCUUGAUGGGAAGCAUACAGUGUUUGGUCGAGUGGUUGGAGGUCUGGAUACAUUAACUGUUAUGGAGAAAAUUAAGACAGAUUCCAAAGACAGACCUACUGAAGAGAUUAAAAUUGAAAAAGCCACUGUAUUCGUUAAUCCGUAUGAAGAGGCUGACGAACAGUUGGCAAAAGAUAGACAACGGGUAAAGGAUGAAGAAGAAGCAAAGAAAGCUGGGCCUUCAAAACCAGUUACCAAAGAAUCAGAUAAACCAGUGGUGUAUCGAUCUGGUGUUGGUAAAUACAUAUCUGGGUCAAGUGGGUGGCAAAACAGUAACAAGAGGGAAGCUGAUGAAACAACCCCAAUAAGCACUAGCACCUCAAAGAAGAAAGUUAAAUCUUCCCACGAUCUGACAGACUUCAGCGGCUGGUGAAAAUAAUAAUGUGAAAUUUAAUAUUAAUAAUAAAACAACAAAAAUAUUGGACUUUACAUUGAGCACUUUAUCUUCUUAAAUCCGAUUGCCAAAAUUCUGGAUAGAGGAUAUCUCAGAGAUGGUGAGUGCUGGCAUGUAUCCUCAGGAGCUAUUCUCUUAACAAGACUACUAUAAAGAGCCAUUCAAGACUAGCAUUUAAGAACAUCAAACAAAAGUGUCCUACAUGAAGACACAAGCAUAUAUUACCAUAGAAUUGACCUUAAUAACAGUUUCCCAUUACAUAUUGAAGGGAUACAUAUCAGCUCCUAGUGGCUGAUCCAUGAAAGGUGGUAGGUUGGGGGUUGCAUCCAAAGCACCAAUCUAUGAUUCAAAGAGGGGGUUUGGGAUAGGUGAUCACUUCAAUAUAGGCAUAAUUAUUUAUUAAAUACAUAUUUUGGUUGCUACCAAGGACAAGUUCCCCUUCACCUUUCCCUAGAUCCGCCACUAGUUCCGGUUGAUGCAGUGAACUGUGUAUCAAUCAUACAGUAAUUAUAAAUGCAGUUUUGUGUCUCCUUUUCACUUGAAUAGUAUAAUUUUAAUGUUGUUCAAAAUACUGGAAAGAGGCUUGUGAAAAUUGCCAUGUAAAAAAAUAGACAAGAUAUUUUUAGUCUUGCAUUUUGCUAUUUUAAUUACUUCACACACAUUUAAACACAACAAUACACUAAGUUAAAUACAAUCAGAUCAUGUUCUUAAUAUCUUACAAUUUAGUAAACUGGCAAAAAGCACCAACAAAAAGAAAGCCUUAAACUAUGUUUUACUAUUUACUGUAUUUUAAUUGUAUUUGCAUAAGCAUACAAUAUGGUCUGGAUUUUCUGUACUAAAGUGAACUCAAUUGACUUAAAAGAUUGCAUUAAACAUAAUGUGGUUUCUACUAUAGAGAUCUUUAGUCUGAGGGAGUUAGAGAUUCUGAAUAUCUACAUCAACCACUGAGCAGCGAUUCUGUUAAAAUGAACUUAAAAUCAAAUUUAACUUAUGUUCUUUAAAUUUGUCUAAAUCUAUUUAGUUUUUUUUUUUUUGCAAAUAAUAAAUAUUCAUAUCAAUAUGUCAUCUGUUGCAGUUAGGCAUUAGCAGCACUAAAGCCAUGAACCAGCAAUGUAAAUAUUUAUACGAUUGACAAUAUUUUAUUGGUGUUUUUGUUUGAAAGCACUGAAAUAAAUAAAUAUCUUCACAAA
rnacentral:misc_RNA from 1 species